GUGGGGAAUAUUGGACAAUGGGCGAAAGCCUGAUCCAGCAAUGCCGCGUGAGUGAAGAAGGCCCUAGGGUUGUAAAACUCUUUCAGUGGUGAUGAUGAUGACAGUAACCACAGAAGAAGCACCGGCUAACUUCGUGCCAGCAGCCGCGGUAAUACGAAGGGUGCUAGCGUUGUUCGGAAUUACUGGGCGUAAAGAGCAUGUAGGCGGAUGGAUUAGUCAGAGGUGAAAGCCCCGAGCUCAACUUGGGAACUGCCUUUGAUACUGUUCAUCUUGAGUCCGAGAGAGGUUAGUGGAAUUCCCAGUGUAGAGGUGAAAUUCGUAGAUAUUGGGAAGAACACCAGUGGCGAAGGCGGCUAACUGGCUCGGUACUGACGCUGAGAUGCGAAAGCGUGGGGAGCAAACAGGAUUAGAAACCCGAGUAGUCC
rnacentral:rRNA from 1 species